UUUUUUUUUUUUUUUCCCUGCUCACUCACUCUGAUUCACUCUCACUCACUCACAGCGCCAACGCCGAUGCCAAUGCUAACCUAGCCCAUCGACGCCAUCAACAACAACGACAUCCCCAAAUGACGCCGUCGAGCUUGACUCCUACAUCGCCGUUCAAGAGAUCGAUGGUUCUGCUCCCACUCCCAAAACAAGGAGUCGGCGAUCUCGAGUUUGAAGGGGUGGUUGGCGAAUCCGGUGAUUGUGAGCAACCCGAUUCUGAGGUUGAUUGCUGGGAUCGUGUUUACAAUAAGGCUCUUAAGCACACCAACGCUGGUGGCACUAUGGAACUGUAAGUCUUAAAUUUUGAAAAAUAAAAAAUUUGGGAUUAAGGUUGUUGUUUAGUAUUAGAUUAGUAGAGUUAUUGAUAUAGUAAUAAAAGACUAGAGUAGGAAUAAAUCAAAAUUAGACAUUAUUGUGCUUCACAAUAAAUCAAAGAGACAAGAGCUAGGAACCAAGAGGAGCGAGUUAGGGACAAAGAGGUGCGAGCUAAGCAAGAAAAUGUCCAAAAGAAUAUUCUUAAAUUUUUGAGGAGCAAGGGUUAUGAUGAGGUUCUUACCUAUGAGGGUGGUUCAUCUUCAAGUUAAAACAAUUAUUGAUUUCUUAUUGGUGGCUUUUAGGGGAUUUACUUUUGGCAUUACUUGAAGACAUAUGAGGACAUCUUCUGUUGAUUAUAAUUAUAUUAUGCUACACUUUUUGUAUUGUAUGUAUGUG